UACGAAGGGGGCUAGCGUUGUUCGGAAUUACUGGGCGUAAAGCGCACGUAGGCGGAUCGAUCAGUCAGGGGUGAAAUCCCAGGGCUCAACCCUGGAACUGCCUUUGAUACUGUCGAUCUGGAGUAUGGAAGAGGUGAGUGGAAUUCCGAGUGUAGAGGUGAAAUUUGUAGAUAUUCGGAGGAACACCAGUGGCGAAGGCGGCUCACUGGUCCAUUACUGACGCUGAGGUGCGAAAGCGUGGGGAGCAAACAGG
rnacentral:rRNA from 1 species